UACGAAGGGGGCUAGCGUUGUUCGGAAUUACUGGGCGUAAAGCGCACGUAGGCGGAUAUUUAAGUCAGGGGUGAAAUCCCAGAGCUCAACUCUGGAACUGCCUUUGAUACUGGGUAUCUUGAGUAUGGAAGAGGUGAGUGGAAUUCCGAGUGUAGAGGUGAAAUUCGUAGAUAUUCGGAGGAACACCAGUGGCGAAGGCGGCUCGCUGGUCCAUUACUGACGCUCAGGCACGAAAGCGUGGGGAGCAAAAGGG
rnacentral:rRNA from 1 species